AUAACCGGCGAUUUCCGAAUGGGGAAACCCAGUGUGUUUCGACACACUAUCAUUAACUGAAUCCAUAGGUUAAUGAGGCGAACCGGGGGAACUGAAACAUCUAAGUACCCCGAGGAAAAGAAAUCAACCGAGAUUCCCCCAGUAGCGGCGAGCGAACGGGGAGGAGCCCAGAGCCUGAAUCAGUGUGUGUGUUAGUGGAAGCGUCUGGAAAGGCGUGCGAUACAGGGUGACAGCCCCGUACACAAAAAUGCACAUAUUGUGAGCUCGAUGAGUAGGGCGGGACACGUGGUAUCCUGUCUGAAUAUGGGGGGACCAUCCUCCAAGGCUAAAUACUCCUGACUGACCGAUAGUGAACCAGUACCGUGAGGGAAAGGCGAAAAGAACCCCGGCGAGGGGAGUGAAAAAGAACCUGAAACCGUGUACGUACAAGCAGUGGGAGCCUCUUUAUGGGGUGACUGCGUACCUUUUGUAUAAUGGGUCAGCGACUUAUAUUCUGUAGCAAGGUUAACCGAAUAGGGGAGCCGAAGGGAAACCGAGUCUUAACUGGGCGUUAAGUUGCAGGGUAUAGACCCGAAACCCGGUGAUCUAGCCAUGGGCAGGUUGAAGGUUGGGUAACACUAACUGGAGGACCGAACCGACUAAUGUUGAAAAAUUAGCGGAUGACUUGUGGCUGGGGGUGAAAGGCCAAUCAAACCGGGAGAUAGCUGGUUCUCCCCGAAAGCUAUUUAGGUAGCGCCUCGUGAAUUCAUCUCCGGGGGUAGAGCACUGUUUCGGCAAGGGGGUCAUCCCGACUUACCAACCCGAUGCAAACUGCGAAUACCGGAGAAUGUUAUCACGGGAGACACACGGCGGGUGCUAACGUCCGUCGUGAAGAGGGAAACAACCCAGACCGCCAGCUAAGGUCCCAAAGUCAUGGUUAAGUGGGAAACGAUGUGGGAAGGCCCAGACAGCCAGGAUGUUGGCUUAGAAGCAGCCAUCAUUUAAAGAAAGCGUAAUAGCUCACUGGUCGAGUCGGCCUGCGCGGAAGAUGUAACGGGGCUAAACCAUGCACCGAAGCUGCGGCAGCGACACUAUGUGUUGUUGGGUAGGGGAGCGUUCUGUAAGCCUGUGAAGGUGGCCUGUGAGGGUUGCUGGAGGUAUCAGAAGUGCGAAUGCUGACAUAAGUAACGAUAAAGCGGGUGAAAAGCCCGCUCGCCGGAAGACCAAGGGUUCCUGUCCAACGUUAAUCGGGGCAGGGUGAGUCGACCCCUAAGGCGAGGCCGAAAGGCGUAGUCGAUGGGAAACAGGUUAAUAUUCCUGUACUUGGUGUUACUGCGAAGGGGGGACGGAGAAGGCUAUGUUGGCCGGGCGACGGUUGUCCCGGUUUAAGCGUGUAGGCUGGUUUUCCAGGCAAAUCCGGAAAACCAAGGCUGAGGCGUGAUGACGAGGCACUACGGUGCUGAAGCGACAAAUGCCCUGCUUCCAGGAAAAGCCUCUAAGCAUCAGGUAACAUCAAAUCGUACCCCAAACCGACACAGGUGGUCAGGUAGAGAAUACCAAGGCGCUUGAGAGAACUCGGGUGAAGGAACUAGGCAAAAUGGUGCCGUAACUUCGGGAGAAGGCACGCUGAUAUGUAGGUGAAGCGACUUGCUCGUGGAGCUGAAAUCAGUCGAAGAUACCAGCUGGCUGCAACUGUUUAUUAAAAACACAGCACUGUGCAAACACGAAAGUGGACGUAUACGGUGUGACGCCUGCCCGGUGCCGGAAGGUUAAUUGAUGGGGUUAGCGGUAACGCGAAGCUCUUGAUCGAAGCCCCGGUAAACGGCGGCCGUAACUAUAACGGUCCUAAGGUAGCGAAAUUCCUUGUCGGGUAAGUUCCGACCUGCACGAAUGGCGUAAUGAUGGCCAGGCUGUCUCCACCCGAGACUCAGUGAAAUUGAACUCGCUGUGAAGAUGCAGUGUACCCGCGGCAAGACGGAAAGACCCCGUGAACCUUUACUAUAGCUUGACACUGAACAUUGAGCCUUGAUGUGUAGGAUAGGUGGGAGGCUUUGAAGUGUGGACGCCAGUCUGCAUGGAGCCGACCUUGAAAUACCACCCUUUAAUGUUUGAUGUUCUAACGUUGGCCCGUAAUCCGGGUUGCGGACAGUGUCUGGUGGGUAGUUUGACUGGGGCGGUCUCCUCCUAAAGAGUAACGGAGGAGCACGAAGGUUGGCUAAUCCUGGUCGGACAUCAGGAGGUUAGUGCAAUGGCAUAAGCCAGCUUGACUGCGAGCGUGACGGCGCGAGCAGGUGCGAAAGCAGGUCAUAGUGAUCCGGUGGUUCUGAAUGGAAGGGCCAUCGCUCAACGGAUAAAAGGUACUCCGGGGAUAACAGGCUGAUACCGCCCAAGAGUUCAUAUCGACGGCGGUGUUUGGCACCUCGAUGUCGGCUCAUCACAUCCUGGGGCUGAAGUAGGUCCCAAGGGUAUGGCUGUUCGCCAUUUAAAGUGGUACGCGAGCUGGGUUUAGAACGUCGUGAGACAGUUCGGUCCCUAUCUGCCGUGGGCGCUGGAGAACUGAGGGGGGCUGCUCCUAGUACGAGAGGACCGGAGUGGACGCAUCACUGGUGUUCGGGUUGUCAUGCCAAUGGCACUGCCCGGUAGCUAAAUGCGGAAGAGAUAAGUGCUGAAAGCAUCUAAGCACGAAACUUGCCCCGAGAUGAGUUCUCCCUGAGACUUAGAGUCUCCUGAAGGAACGUUGAAGACGACGACGUUGAUAGGCCGGGUGUGUAAGCGCAGCGAUGCGUUGAGCUAACCGGUACUAAUGAACCGUGAGGCUUAACCUU
rnacentral:rRNA from 1 species